rnacentral:rRNA from 1 species
GAUGAACGCUGGCGGCGUGCUUAACACAUGCAAGUCGAACGGAAAGGCUCCUGCUUGCAGCGGUCCUCGAGUGGCGAACGGGUGAGUAACACGUGGGUGAUCUGCCCUUCACUUCGGGGUAUGCCUGGGCAACUGGGUCUAUUACCGGAUAGGACGUUUGUUUGGAUGCUAUUCUGGAAAGUUUUUCGGUGUGGGAUGAGCUCGCGGCCUAUCAGCUUGUUGGUGGUGUACUGGUCUAAGAAGGCGUUGACGGGUACCCGGACUGAGAGAGUGUACGGGCACAUCGAGACUGAGACUCGGCCCCGGCUCCGACUGGUGGGAGAAGCGGGGAAGAUUGAUCAAGGGGCGCAAGCCGGAUGCAGAGACGCCGCGGGGGGGAUGACGGUGUUCGGGUUGUAAACGCAUUGCGCUAGUGACGAGGCUUUUUGUGACGGUACCUGGAGAAGAAGCACCGGCUAACUACGUG